UAGGGAAUCUUCCACAAUGGGGCGCAAGCCUGAUGGAGCAACACCGCGUGAGUGAAGAAGGGUUUCGGCUCGUAAAGCUCUGUUGUUGGAGAAGAACGUGCGUGAGAGUAACUGUUCACGCAGUGACGGUACCCAACAAGGAAGUGACGGCUAACUACGUGCCAGCAGCCGCGGUAAAACGUAGGUCACAAGCGUUGUCCGGAAUUACUGGGUGUAAAGGGAGCGCAGGCGGGAAGACAAGUUGGAAGUGAAAUCUAUGGGCUCAACCCAUAAACUGCUUUCAAAACUGUUUUUCUUGAGUAGUGCAGAGGUAGGCGGAAUUCCCGGUGUAGCGGUGGAAUGCGUAGAUAUCGGGAGGAACACCAGUGGCGAAGGCGGCCUACUGGGCACCAACUGACGCUGAGGCUCGAAAGUGUGGGUAGCAAACAGGAUUAGAUACCCUGGUAGU
rnacentral:rRNA from 1 species